GACGAACGCUGGCGGCGUGCUUAACACAUGCAAGUCGAACGGAAAGGCCCUGCUUUUGUGGGGUGCUCGAGUGGCGAACGGGUGAGUAAAACGUGAGUAACCUGCCCUUGUCUUUGGGAUAACUUCAGGAAACUGGGGCUAAUACCGGAUAGGAGCUCCUGCUGCAUGGUGGGGGUUGGAAAGUUUCGGCGGUUGGGGAUGGACUCGCGGCUUAUCAGCUUGUUGGUGGGGUAGUGGCUUACCAAGGUUUUGACGGGUAGCCGGCCUGGGAGGGUGACCGGCCACAAGGGGACUGAGAUACGGCCCAGACGCCUACGGGAGGCAGAAGUGGAGAAUAUUGCACAAUGGGCGGAAGCCUGAUGCGGCAACGCCGCGUGCGGGAUGACGGCCUUCGGGUUGUAAACCGCUUUCGCCUGUGACGAAGCGUGAGUGACGGUAAUGGGUAAAGAAGCACCGGCUAACUACGUG
rnacentral:rRNA from 1 species